rnacentral:lncRNA from 1 species
AAAAGCUGCAUUAAAACAAAGACAAAAUUAGAAACCAAAGCAAGACAAAACGAAAUAAUAAAGCAUAAGUAAUCCCGCAGAAAUAACGUAUAUAAUUAUGUAAACAUAAGAAACAUAAAUACAGUCGCAUGAAAUAGUAACAAGCAGUAACUACCAUACUAACACCAUAAAGGGACAUAAGCUAAAACACUAGUCAACUAUUUGUAACCCUACUAUCCCACACCCAACCCCGGGUGAGGCGUACGAAGGACUCUAUGAGCCCCUAGCCUACAACCCUGAUUCUAGACCACCAGACUCCCCUAAAAAGGGUCAUGUCCUCGGUAACCUGCAUUCUAGUCAUGUCCUGCCUAAUCACUCCCCAAUGCUUCUUAGGCCUCCCUCUACCUCGCCGACCUCCAACAAUCUCCAGCUGCUCGCAGCUCCUCACCGGGGCAUCGGGACCCCUCC